CGUUCCCUGGGCUGGGAGAGAGUCUGUUGACGCAGACUGAACGUGCUUUAGGGUCCAAGCGAAGGAACACGGGUGCCUCUUGGGAACGUGUUCAGUUCCAGGAAUUCUAGAUACAUCCUGUGUGCAUCCAGGAAGAAAGUAAAGCAGGACAGGGACACAAUGCUUGACGAGGAGGCAGGAGUCAGCCCGGCAGGCCCUGUGUCCAUGUGCAUGCUGGUGUGAUUCUGCGGGGCUGGGUGUUCAGGGUUGGCAGACCCACUGGCCUUCCCUUCCUGCCUGGGAAGGUGUCCCCUCCUCACGUGGAGGGCAUCAGAACUUGGCCAUACAAUGUCACAGGGAAGGCCUGUCCCUCAGCUCUGCUGCCCCCAUGGGAUUAGUCAUGGUUUCUCACACUGUUGUCCUUUCUGUGUGUGACUCUCAAAAUCAACAUCAGUGACCUGGGAGUUCAACAGACUGCAGUUCUAGAAAACACACUUUCCAGUGCUCCCAUUGGAUGGGACCCCCUAAGUGUCAACAAACAGAAGGCCCAACUCAAACCAGCUUAAACAUGAGCUUGUUAAUAAACAUUGACUCUUGUAACUAGGCAACCAGAGACAGGGCGGGCUUCAGGUGAGGUGUGAUCCAGUCACGUCUCCACAAAUACCUGCUAAGACAGCCCCCCCCCCACCUGUCAGUCCUGUGUUCAGAGCGGCUUCCCUCUUGAAGUCAAAGCAGCUGCUAGUUCCUGCCUCUACAACCGCACACGACGAGAUAGCGGGAGUGAGAGGCAGGGCACAGGCUACUACUAUCCCAGACUUCUGAUAAAGACCACGAACCUGCCCCGUGGCGAAAGUGGCCAGCCCCUCUGGCACCCAGGGCCGGGGGAGAGGGGAACUCUGAUUCAGCUAAUCACAGCACCACCCUCACCGCAGAGGAAAAUAAGACACCCUCUCCCCGCCCCAGGGUGCAAAGAGCCCUGGGAGGUUGGACCAGAUGCCGGGAAGAGACGCUGGGGGCCAGAGAGAAGAUGCUCGUUCCCGGGCCAGGGGCAGUGCUAACAGAACAGAUUCCUUAGCCGGCGUCUGAGCGCAGGCGCAUCGCAGGGCAACCACGCUUCCUUCGAGCUGGAACGGGGUGGGGGGGGGGGGAGUCUCGGGCUUUCAACGAGGAGCGCGUCUGGGCCGCUGCCCGUUCGCUCAGCGGAAACGGGCGGCCGCAACCCUCCAAUUAGCGCGUCCCGGGAGCCCGGCAGCCCUCAGACUCCCACUGGACCUGGUUUCCGGACAGAGUCUGGAGACGGUGACGCGGAUGGAAUACGGGGCCUGGUCUUAACAGAGGUUGAGAUGCCUCCCCGAGGACGUUCGCCAGCUCUGGCCUUGGCAGCGGUGUGAGUCUGGCAACGGGAGCAAGAGAGACCCAUUUGACAAAUUAAAGAUGUGACAAAGGACCGAAGUCUCUGGAAAUUUCCGUCCGAGUGCCGGGGACCGAAUCCGGUCACCCCCCCCCCCCCCCCCAAUCAGGACAGCGACAAGGGCGGCCACCUUCCUGCCAAGAAGGUCAUCGGGACAUGUUUCCACCCGGCCUGUGAAGGGAAAGUCAACUCUUAGCUCAGUGCUAUUUUUUAAACAUGAGACGAUUUCAAAGGCAGAAUUCGGAAGACUUGUCUGUCUUAGAAAUCACUUCCGACCCGGCUGGUUCUCUGUGCGCGGAGACUGAGCGGGAUUGAAUCAGGCGGAGACACAGCUUCCCUCGGCACAGCCACUCGA
ensembl:lncRNA